UUUCCGUAGGUGAACCUGCGGAAGGAUCAUUAUUGAAAUAAACCUGAUGGGUUGUUGCUGGCUCUCUAGAGAGCAUGUGCACGCCUUGUCAUCUUUAUAUCUCCACCUGUGCACCCUUUGUAGACCUUGGAUAUUUUUUCCAUUGUCUAUGUUGCUUCAUAUACCCCAAUGUAUGUUAAUAGAAUGUUUGUGACUAUAAAAUCUAUACAACUUUCAGCAACGGAUCUCUUGGCUCUC
rnacentral:misc_RNA from 1 species